GACGAACGCUGGCGGCGUGCUUAACACAUGCAAGUCGAACGAAGUGGCGAACGGGUGAGUAACGCGUAAUCAACCUGCCCUUCAGAGGGGGACAACAGUUGGAAACGACUGCUAAUACCUCAUACUGAAGGAGGGGAUUGCGUCUGAUUAGCUAGUUGGCGGGGUAACGGCCAACCAAGGCGAUGAUCAGUAGCCGGGCUGAGGGGAUGAAAGGCCACAUGUGGACUGAGGCACGGCCCAGAUUCCUACGGGAGGCAGCAGGGGGGAAUCUUCCGGAAUGGACGAAAGUCUGACGGAGCAACGCCGCGGGAGUGAUGACGGCCUUCGGGUUGUAAAGCUCUGUUAAUCGGGACGCGGUACCGGAAUAGAAAGCCACGGCUAACUACGUGCCAGCAGCCGCGGUAAUUC
rnacentral:rRNA from 1 species